UACGGAGGGUGCAAGCGUUAUCCGGAUUCACUGGGCUUAAAGGGUGCGUAGGUGGGUUGGUAAGUCAGUGGUGAAAUCUCCGAGCUUAACUUGGAAACUGCCAUUGAUACUAUCAGUCUUGAAUACCGUGGAGAUGAGCGGAAUAUGUCAUGUAGCGGUGAAAUGCUUAGAUAUGACAUAGAACACCAAUUGCGAAGGCAGCUCGGUACACGAAUAUUGACACUCAGGCACGAAAGCGUGGGGAUCAAACAGG
rnacentral:rRNA from 1 species